UACGUAGGAGGCAAGCGUUGUCCGGAAUCACUGGGCGUAAAGCGCGUGUAGGUGGAAGAGGAAGUCUGCUGUGAAAGCGCCUGGCUUAACCGGGCGAGGUCGGUGGAAACUCCUCAUCUAGAGGUCGGUAGAGGGGGGUGGAAUUCCGGGUGUAGUGGUGAAAUGCGUAGAGAUCCGGAGGAACACCUGUGGCGAAGGCGGCCCCCUGGGCCGCACCUGACGCUGAGACGCGAAAGCUAGGGGAGCGAACGGG
rnacentral:rRNA from 1 species